UUGCACGCUGGCGGCAUGCCUUACACCUGCAAGUCGAACGGCAGCACGGGUGCUUGCACCUGGUGGCGAGUGGCGAACGGGUGAGUAAUACAUCGGAACAUGUCCUGUAGUGGGGGAUAGCCCGGCGAAAGCCGGAUUAAUACCGCAUACGAUCUACGGAUGAAAGCGGGGGACCUUCGGGCCUCGCGCUAUAGGGUUGGCCGAUGGCUGAUUAGCUAGUUGGUGGGGUAAAGGCCUACCAAGGCGACGAUCAGUAGCUGGUCUGAGAGGACGACCAGCCACACUGGGACUGAGACACGGCCCAGACUCCUACGGGAGGCAGCAGUGGGGAAUUUUGGACAAUGGGCGAAAGCCUGAUCCAGCAAUGCCGCGUGUGUGAAGAAGGCCUUCGGGUUGUAAAGCACUUUUGUCCGGAAAGAAAUCCUUGGCUCUAAUACAGUCGGGGGAUGACGGUACCGGAAGAAUAAGCACCGGCUAACUACGUG
rnacentral:rRNA from 1 species